AUCAGUUAUGAGUAACUACUGAUCUCAGCUUCACAAGAAUGUCUUUCCAAGUCCAACAGUACUUUGAAUGAUCCAUUACCUGAAGUUGACUUCACUCUCAGAUGCAUCCUUUGUUUUCUUAAGAAGAGUUUAGCUUGAUAAAAUUAACUUCAUGUGUUCUGAUCUUGAAUACAGUAUGUUACAUAUAUUAAACCUUGUAGGUAACAAAGUUUGCAGCUUUAAUUCUUGGAUAUAGAGUUAAACUUGGCAAUAG
rnacentral:misc_RNA from 1 species